rnacentral:lncRNA from 1 species
AUAACGGUGUAUGUGAAUGUCCUGGCGGAUGCUCUCAAGAGCGUCAACAAUGUGGGAAAGAGAAGCAAACACCAGGUUCUUCUCAGGUGGAGCUCCAGAGUCGUCCAGUUUCUAAGUGUGAUGAUGAAGCAUGGGUGCAUUGACGAAUUUGAAAUUACCGAUCAUCACGAAGCAGGGAAGAUUGUGAUGAACCUCACAGGCAGGUUAUCAAGUGUGAAGUGGUCAGCUGGAGAUUUGAUGUGCAGCUCAAAGAUCUAAAAAGAUGGCAGAAUCAUCUGCUCCUGUCCCAGCAGCUGGCCUGCAUUGUGCUGACCUCAGCUGGCAUCAUGGACCACAAAGAGAUGAGAUGAAAACACACAGGAGGAAAAAGCCUGGGAUUCUUUUUCUAGG